rnacentral:rRNA from 1 species
CCAGGCCUACAGGGGGCAGCAGUGGGGAAUAUUGCACAAUGGGGGAAACCCUGAUGCAGCGACGCCGCGUGAAGGAAGAAGUAUUUCGGUAUGUAGACUUCUAUCAGCAGGGAAGAAAAUGACGGUACCUGACUAAGAAGCCCCGGCUAACUACGUGCCAGCAGCCGCGGUAAUACGUAGGGGGCAAGCGUUAUCCGGAUUUACUGGGUGUAAAGGGAACGUAGGCGGCGAUGCAAGUCAGAAGUGAAAGCCCGGGGCUCAACUCCGGGACUGCUUUUGAAACUGUGUUGCUAGAUUGCAGGAGG